GGGGACCUCAUGGGGGUCAUUAAUGGGCCAUUGAGGUUCAUUGGGUGGUGGGGACCCCUUGGGGGUCAUUAAUGGGCCAUUGAGGUUCAUUAGGUGAUAGGGACCUGGUGGGGGUAAUUAAUGGUCCAUUAAGGUUCAUUAAGUGAUGGUGACCCAUUGAGGUUCAUUAGGUGGUGGGGAUCUCAUAGGGUUUGUUAAUGGCGCAUUAAGGUUCAUUAAGUGAUGGGGACCCAUUGAAGUUCAUUAGGUGAUGGAGACCUGUAGGGGUUCAUUAGGUGGUGGGGACCUCAUGGGGUUCGUUAAUGGGCCAUUGAGAUUCAUUAGGUAAUGGGGAGCUGUUGGGGGUCGUUAAUGGUCCGUUGAGGUUCAUUAGGUGAUGGGAACCCAUUGAGGUUCAUUAGAUGGUGGAGACCUCAUGGGGUUCAUUAAUGGGCGAUUGAGGUUCAUUAGGUGAUGGGAACCCAUUGAGGUUCAUUAGGUGGUGGGGACCCAUUGGGGGUCAUUAAUAGUGUAUUGAGGGUCAUUAGGUGGUGGAGACCCGUUGGGGGUCAUUAAUGGUCCACUGAGGUUCAUUAGGUGAUGGGAACCCACUGGGGCUCAUUAAUGGCCCAUCGAGGUUCAUUAGGUGAUGGGGUUGAUUAACGGUGGGGACCUGGUGGGGUCCAUUGGGUGGUGGAACCCAUUGGGGUUAAUUAACGGGGGAGCUCCAUUAAGGCUCAUUAGGGUGAGGCAGGACCCGUCAAUGCUCAUGAGGUGCUGGGGGGCCUCAUUGGGGGGGGUCCAUCAAGUGAUGAAGGACAUUGGGGUUCCUCAGGUGAUGAAGGACCUGGGGGGGACCCAUUGAGCUCGUGGGGGAGGGGCAGGACCCCGGUUUUGGGGGGGGGGAGGGGCCGCGGUGGGUUUUUAACUGUGAUUUGGGGCUAAUAAAGGCGGAUUUGGCAAAUGGGCGCGUGCUGGGGGGGGGCAUUAACCACUGACCCCCCCAUUGGGCUAUAGAGACCCCCAUAAGGUCUAUAUAGUUCUCUCAGUGAGACCACGUAAAAUUUAUAUGUGGAUACCCCCCCGAGACCAUAGAAAAACCAUGGAGACCCCCCCCCCCGAGCAAUAUAGGAUCCAUAGGGACUGCUCCUGGCCAUAUAGAAUCUAUAGGCACCCCCACAGGAGCAUAGAGAAUCUAUAGAAACCUCUCCUACACCUAUAUAAGAGCUAUAGGGGCCUCCCUGGAGCCAUAGAGAAGCUAUAGGGACCCUACCUACGGGCCUAUAGGAGCCAUAGGUAUUCCCUGGGGCCAUAUAGGGUCCCCGCCCAGGAUCAUAUAAGAACCAUAUGGAUCUCAUGCACAGAGGGUUAUAUAGGUGCUGUAGAAACAGCUUCUGGUAGGAGCAUACAGGAUCCAUAGAGACCUCAAUGAGGCCAUAUAGGAUCACCAGAGACCGCCCAUGGGGCCAUACAGAAGCUAUAGGGACCCCCCCAGGGCCAUAUAGGAUCCAUAGGGACCAU